CUACGGGAGGCAGCAGUGGGGAAUAUUGGACAAUGGGGGCAACCCUGAUCCAGCCAUGCCGCGUGAGUGAUGAAGGCCUUCGGGUUGUAAAGCUCUUUUGGCGGGGACGAUGAUGACGGUACCCGCAGAAUAAGCCCCGGCUAACUUCGUGCCAGCAGCCGCGGUAAGACGAAGGGGGCUAGCGUUGUUCGGAAUUACUGGGCGUAAAGCGCGUGUAGGCGGUUGUUCAAGUUAGGUGUGAAAGCCUUGAGCUCAACUCAAGAAAUGCACUUGAUACUGGAUGACUAGAGUACCGGAGACGAUAGUGGAAUUCCCAGUGUAGUGGUGAAAUACGUAGAGAUUGGGAAAAACACCAGUGGCGAAGGCGGCUAUCUGGACGGUUACUGACGCUAAGACGCGAAAGCGUGGGGAGCAAACAGGAUUAGAAACCCCGGUAGUCC
rnacentral:rRNA from 1 species